GAUGGAGGAAGAGUGGAACCACCUGUUGGUGCCUUACCAGUGGGUGAGAUCCUAGGGUCUUGUCUGGCGGUGAGGGGUCCCAAGGGAGCGAGACACAUAGAAAACCAGCUAGAAAAAAAAGGACAGUCACUCCUCGAUGGCAAGUGUGACCCCUGAAACAGAGUGGGCCUCUGUGAAUGAUAGCGCUGCUGACAACUCUGGGACUGACAGAGAGGGACGACCGAGGGAGGCUGAGGUGCUGUUGAGCAGUGGAUGGAUAACACAGGGUGAAGCAGGAGAAUGGCUGCCUGCCAGAGCCCAGCACCAGGUGCAGAAUGUAGGGUAUAGAGAAGUGUCCUUCCUCAGCUCCCCCUUGGAGGGCACCAGCCCAUACUGAACAUCCACUGUCCCAGUACCCUCUACUGCUGCUAGGCCAUUUUCCCUCCCUACUCACCUCAGCUGUUUCUCCAUCUCGCCCUCAAAUGCUCCCUGUUUGUCCUCCCAGUAGAAAACAACUCUGCGCCAAACAGAAGAAGGAGAUUAUGUCAAUUAAAUGAUCAGCUUCCACGUGGUUCCUGCACACCCACUCCACCUCCACCUCACACAUUUUGGUUUGUUCUCAUCCAGCUCGAAGUGUUUGAAUUGGCUAUGCGAGACGAACGCUGGAGGCUGUUAAAGUAGUUUCAAAUAGUGAUGUGUCAUGAAUAUGGAGUUUAAGACUCAAAUCCCCAGGGAUACACAGGCUAUAGAUAGCUUGCUCCUACUACACACACAUAUGCACAAAAGGCACACACCUUCAGCACCCGUCCCACUCCAGUCAGCGUGCACAGCGCUGCUGACCCUUGUGACGUUGAAGGGGCAGAACAGGGAGAAGCCAGAAAGAGGUGAUUAAGAUGAAAGUAACAGAGUCAGAAGAAUUUCAAUGGACAGAGGAAAAAACUGAGAAAUGCAGAAAAGUCUUAUUUUUCUAGCUUCAGCCAUCAUUCCUAUUGAGAAUAAUAACAAUGUAGUCACAAGUUCUGGGAACACCAAUACUGUCUCCUAGUAAAUACUUCUAUAUAUAUCUAAAUUGUUUUCCCAAUUAAGUUGUGAUGAAAAACGUAAUCGCUGCCUGGAUUAUGUUCAGAGGCAACAUUUGUUUUUUUUUAAAGGGAUGAUGAGCAACAUUUAUGAGUUGUGAGGGAGGUGAUCCAGAUGAAAGGUUCAAGACUUUGACACCAGAGACCAGAGUUUGCAUCCACACUUUCCGUCUGUGGUUUGGUUUAGGCAACAAAAGCACUUUGGUUAAGGCUGAGGAAAGAUCAUGUUUUUUGUCAAAUCUUGAUAAACACGUGUCUUAUUGCAUUAAACCUGACAACAAUCCUUUUCCUACCUUAACCAAGUGCUGCCAGUGCCUAAACAUAACCAUAAAUGUUUAAAGGCUCAAUAUGUAAUACUGACAGCGUUUAAAAUGGUUACUGCAGUCCAAAUUCAAAAUACUGAAAAGAGUCGUACCCCCCGCCCCUCCUCCCCAGCAUCAAAGUUCACGGGGGUUGCCAGGUUGAGAAUGCUAAACCCAACGUCACACAAUGUCAAUGUUAGCUUGAUGCUAGUCUCGCAUUGCCAGACAUUACUCCACAGCGGAGUUGCUAGAUGCUGCUAUGUUGACGGUUAUAAAAGCCUGAGCUCUCGCGGAGCUCUGUACCUGCCUGACAGUCACCUUUUAUUAACUAACUGUAACAACAACAACCGUUAAAAAGACCUUGUGGUGCUUUGUGCCCAACUGACAGCGUGUCCCAAUCCAACUAUUCAGGCUAUGGGGUGUUUUGCCAAAGUUAAAUUGCAUGUUUUCAUUAAGAGGAAGUCAAACUUGCGGUUUCUGGCAUAUGUCGGCGUUAGCACCAGUCAGGAUCACUUCACUGGCUGUCUACA